UAUGGAAUCUUCCACAAUGGACGAAAGUCUGAUGGAGCAACGCCGCGUGAGUGAAGAAGGGUUUCGGCUCGUAAAACUCUGUUGUUAAAGAAGAACAUAUCUGAGAGUAACUGUUCAGGUAUUGACGGUAUUUAACCAGAAAGCCACGGCUAACUACGUGCCAC
rnacentral:rRNA from 1 species